UACCUGCAGCUCUAGUGGUGUCCGCUAUUAUUGGGCCUAAAACGUCCGUAGCCGGCUUAUUAAAUGCCUGGGUAAAUCGUACGGCUUAACCGUACGAAUUCCGGGUAGACUGAUAAGCUUGGGACCGGGAGAAGCUAGAGGCACUCCUGGGGUAGAGGUGAAAUUUUGUAAUCCUAGGGGGACCACCAGUGGCGAAGGCGUCUAGCUAGAACGGGUUUGACGGUGAGGGACGAAGCCCUGGGGAGCAAACGGGAUUAGAUACCCCGGUAGUCCAGGGUGUAAACGCUGCUUGCUUGAUGUUAGUCGGGCUCCGAGCCCGAUUAGUGUCGGAGAGAAGUUGUUAAGCAAGCUGCCUGGGAAGUACGGCCGCAAGACUGAAACUUAAAGGAAUUGGCGGGGGAGCACUGCAACGGGUGGAGCGUGCGGUUU
rnacentral:rRNA from 1 species